UGGGGAAUAUUGCAUAAUGGGCGCAAGCCUGAUGCAGCCAUGCCGCGUGUGUGAAGAAGGCCUUCGGGUUGUAAAGCACUUUCAGCGGGGAGGAAGGCGGUGAGGUUAAUAACCUCAUCGAUUGACGUUACCCGCAGAAGAAGCACCGGCUAACUCCGUGCCAGCAGCCGCGGUAAUACGGAGGGUGCAAGCGUUAAUCGGAAUUACUGGGCGUAAAGCGCACGCAGGCGGUCUGUCAAGUCGGAUGUGAAAUCCCCGGGCUCAACCUGGGAACUGCAUUCGAAACUGGCAGGCUAGAGUCUUGUAGAGGGGGGUAGAAUUCCAGGUGUAGCGGUGAAAUGCGUAGAGAUCUGGAGGAAUACCGGUGGCGAAGGCGGCCCCCUGGACAAAGACUGACGCUCAGGUGCGAAAGCGUGGGGAGCAAACAGG
rnacentral:rRNA from 1 species